GGGUGCAGCAGGCGCGAAAACUUCACAAUGGGAGAAAUCCCGAUGAGGGAAUUCCAAGUGCUAGCACUAUGUGUUAGCUGUUCUUUUGUCUAAAAAACAGAAGAAGUAAGGGCCGGGUAAGACGGGUGCCAGCCGCCGCGGUAAUACCCGCGGCCCGAGUGGUGGUCGAUAUUAUUGAGCCUAAAACGUCCGUAGCCGGUCUUGUAAAUCCUUGGGUAAAUCGGCCAGCUUAACUGUCCGAAGUCCGGGGAGACUGCAAGACUUGGGAUCGGGAGAGGUCAGAGGUACUUCUGGGGUAGGGGUAAAAUCCUGUAAUCCUGGAAGGACCACCGGUGGCGAAGGCGUCUGACUAGAACGAAUUCGACGGUGAGGGACGAAGCCCUGGGGCGCAAACGGGAUUAGAUACCCCGGUAGUCCAGGGUGUAAACGCUGCGGGCUUGGUGUUGGGGGUCCUUUGUGGGCGCCCAGUGCCGGAGAGAAGUUGUUAAGCCUGCUGCUUGGGGAGUACGUCCGCAAGGAUGAAACUUAAAGGAAUUGGCGGGGGAGCACAAGGGCGAUUCGCG
rnacentral:rRNA from 1 species